rnacentral:rRNA from 1 species
CACGGACCGCACGAACGUUAUUCGGUAUCACUGGGCUUAAAGGGUGCGUAGGCGGCUUUGCAAGUUGGGUGUGAAAGCCCUCGGCUCAACCGAGGAAUUGCGCUCAAUACUGCCGAGCUCGAGAGAGACAGAGGUAAGCGGAACUAAUGGUGGAGCGGUGAAAUGCGUUGAUAUCAGGAGGAACACCAGUGGCGAAGGCGGUGCUCUGGGCCGGAACUGACGCUGAGGAGCGAAAGCGUGGGUAGCAAACAGG